rnacentral:rRNA from 1 species
UCAGGAUGAACGCUGGCGGCGUGCCUAAUACAUGCAAGUCGAACGAGGUAGCAAUACCGAGUGGCGAACGGGUGAGUAACACGUAGGUAACCUGCCCUUAAGCUUGGGAUACCCAGAGGAAACUUGGCUAAUACCGGAUAACAACAGAGAAGGCAUCUUCUUUGCUUGAAAGGCCCUUCAAGGGUCACUUAAGGAUGGACCUGCGGCGCAUUAGCUAGUUGGUGAGAUAACAGCCCACCAAGGCGAGGAUGCGUAGCCGAACUGAGAGGUUGAUCGGCCACAUUGGAACUGAGACACGGUCCAAACUCCUACGGGAGGCAGCAGUAAGGAGUUUUCGGCAAUGGGGGAAACCCUGACCGAGCAAACGCCGCGUGAGCGAUGACGGCCCUAUGGGGUUGUAAAGCUCUGUUGUAAGCCAUGAAUGAUAGCUUGAGGAAAUGCAAGUUAUUUGACGACAGCUUACCAGAAAGCCACGGCUAACUACGUGCCAGCCGCAGC